GUGUUGUAUGAAAGGAGAGAAGGUUAGCACUCCCCUUGACAAGGAUGGAAGAGGCCUUCGGGGAUAUCAUGUCUGCAUCUUGUACAAUGAAUAACUACUACGACAACAAUAUGCAAUGUAUUAAU
rnacentral:ncRNA from 1 species